GCCUUUCAACCUGAACAGACGAUAUCCACCGUUCAAAAAAAAAACACAGCACUUGUUUACCAGUUCGUGUUCACAACAAAUUUGUAUUCGCAAGAAAACAAAAAACGUAAGGAAUUUAAACGAAGAUAGGAUUCUCAUCGAUUCACCAUGCUGCGGAAGUCAUUCUCUCAUGUGUUAAAUGUUCACAAGAAAUCAGGAAAUAGGUGGAGUAAAACCAUACUGGCUCGCCUUAACACUAAACCAGAAGAAAUAGAAGACAUGCAAAAUUCUCUUGGUCAACAAGUUUGGGAGGAUUCUCUACGGAAGUUUCAAGAUUUGGGUUUCUCUUUGAAGCAAACUACAAAAAUGCUUCUUGACAAUCCACUGUUACCAAGCUAUCAGACUGAUAAGCUAUGCCACAGCUUUGACGUGUUGAAAUCUGUUGGUUUUAAAACCGAAGAAAUUAAAGAAGUUCUUGUUCAGGAACCCAAAAUCUUUGAUCGUGAUCCUCGAAUAUUGAAGAAGAACCAUUUAAAUUUAACAAAGCAGUUAGGCGACCAUCAAGGAAGAAUUGCAGCACUUGCUGCACCCAACACCUUGAUUGACAACAGUUUAAUCACUAACCAAAAAAUUGACUAUUGCAUUAUGGAGAUGUUGAUCAACAAACCUACUAUUGCCAAAUCAAAAAUUCUCAAGUGCCCUUACAUCUUGAUUAAGACCCGGCAUAAGUUUGCCUAUAGGUCAGGCUUCUAUAAGAAAAUCGAUCCAAAGAACAAAGAAGGAUUGGCAAAUAAUCCAAGUAUUCCUGACCUAUUUUUUUCUUCUGACAAAAUUUUUCUGUCCCAAUUCAAAGGCUUUAGUCUUGAAGACUAUGUCGUUUUCGAAGAGAUGAUGAUGAGUGAAGAAGAUAGUUUCAAUGAUGAAAAUGAGAAGGCCGAUGACAAAGACGACCAGACAGAUGAAGAUCCAGAUGAUGAAAAUGUUUCAAAAGGAAAAAAAAACUACUCUCGUCGCAAAUAAUUUUGUUCAUAGCAUAGAACUUUUCAAAUUAAGGAUUAAAUACAACAUUGGUAACCACUAACCAGCAAAAAAGCUUGGGUGUGUUGUAUUAAACAGUAGUUUCAGACGAACAAAGCUGAACAAUUUUGAAACAAAGACUGGCGAACUAUUUUUAAAAAAUGGAAUGCAAAAAAUGUUUAGCCUACCCCAAAAAUUCGGAAUUUCAACAACAGUGGGCGAACGACUUCUUCACAAUUAAGCUUUUAAUUCAACGAAUUAGGAUUCGGUAUUCUACUGCUUGCCAUUGUUCAAAUCUGCGAAAAAAGAACAAGUUGAUUAUCGAUACAGCUGUCUAUUAAGUAUAAAAUGUUUUACUAACGGGAUUUAGAAGUUGAUUUAUCCGAUCGUUUGGCUUUGGUUUCAGUAAUUUUUUUAUGUUUCUUUUGCUGAUGGUGGCGGGGUGUAUACUUCUUUCCUGGUUUUGUUGGGCGAUUUAACUUGGUUUUUUUCGUUGUCCUUAAUUGAGAAUGGUGGGUAGGAGUGAGCGUCGGGCCAGUAUGGUGAGUCGUAGUGGACACCUUACGCUCUGCCGGAACUGGACUUUUGGUCGAGGUUUUACGGCUACUGGUAGUUGCUGUAGCUGGAGUAGAACGAACUGCCCUCGGAUGCCGACCAGCUACUUUGAAUCCUUCUUCCGCUAAAAAUCAAUUAAUUUACCCAAUGAUGCUGGCAGUGGAUGCAGUGACUCUUCCAUUGGCCAUAGGAGAACAGGUAUAAAACGCUGGGAACCACCAACAUCGUCAUUAUUUGUAGGUUAUUUCCACAUCAAUCACAGCGUGUAAAGGAAACAACGCCAGCACUACAAAAAAAAAAACAUUAGAAAAGAGAAGAUCGAGUUGAAAACCGCGAGUAAAACCUCUACCCAACCAUCAUAUGUGUCAAGUCCACCUUCCUGCCUUGUAAGUUGACGCAGGCUGCUUCCCGGAAAGUUGAUGGUUUCAAGUAACAGUGGCCGUGUCACUCCCUUUUCCACUGAAUAAGAAUAGAAGAGAGGGCAUCUACAUUUUCAUUGAGCGUGAAACCGUAACCGUGGACGUUAGCAAACAUAACAUUUGAUAGCGCUGCUGCUGGAAUCAGAUCCGUUUUGGAUUUGACAGCAGAUAGACGCAGUACCUAUUUUGAAGACUUAAAAAUGGCUUUUUUACGGGGAUAUCCGACAGAAGUGAAGGUUUCCUUAUCCAAGCAAUUAAUUUGUACUGCUGCGGUCAUUCAAGCGAUUCCAUUCAACAUUCCACAUCGCAUUAUUCUCUUAUCUUAAAUAGAAAAAAAAAAUUAUUGCCAUCAUUGCUGCAUUCAAAAGACUACCAUCGUGUCAUUUUAACGUUAAUUAGGCAUGCCAAUAAAAGCAUUGUUUUUA
rnacentral:misc_RNA from 1 species